rnacentral:lncRNA from 1 species
UUCUUAGUAUCCUAUCAAUUUUUAGAAAAGGGUAUUGUACAAGCCUAAUUUGUAGGCCCAACUAACACAACAGAAGCCCAAAACCCAAGUUAGCCCAAUACUCAAAAUCAAAAAAUAAUAAACAAACCCUAGGUGCACCGCACCUAGGGGUCUUUUACCAGCCGACGCCUGCAGCACCGCCCAUGUCACAUCCACCGCCCAAGUACCUGCAAGAAGAACAGAGUAAUCAAUUGAAAAACAAGUUGUAAAGAAAUAGGGUUAUAAAAAGGCAAGCAAAAAUAGAUGUUUUUUGGCAAUCUUUGAUAUACAAAAAAGGGCAUUCGGUCUUUUAAGCAAAAAAAGCAGCAACUCUAGUGAUAUCAAAAGUAAGAACAUAGCAUCAAAUCAAAUCAAAAAACCUGAGAAAUCGAAUCUGAAGGCCCAAGGUGAUUCUUCUACCUUUUUUCGUUUCUAUUUCAUGGUCGAAUCUAUCCCUUCCAUAUUCAUAUAUGCAUGAAUAUACAAUAUUAAGAAAUAAAAAAAUAAACACAUCAUUAAAACGCAAAAAAAAAGAGAUUCUUACCUCUGACCGCCGUACACGGCGGUCGCCGACGGCGGAGACGCGGCGGAGGGCGGUGGCAGCUCACCGGAGCCCUGACCGGACUAGGAGCGCCUGCACGAAGAAAAGGAAAGAAAGAAAGUGUUUUUUUAAAAACAAAAAGGAAGAAUGAAAUUGUUUUUAAAAAAAUUAGUUUAUAUAUAGGUAUAAAACGACUUAGUUUUAGGGGGAUUUUGGAGACUUCAAAACGGCGCCGUUUAGGCGACCCGACCCGCUAGAGGAUCCGCGUAUUUUUGUAUAAUGGUCUAAUUCGCGAGGGGUCCUUCAGCUUUUUAUAUAUUUCGCAAUCAGG